UAAUCCCAGCUCUAGGAAACGUGUCAACACGUGAGUCGCUGAUUUUUUCUUUUUGCAAUUGAGAGAUUUUUUCAUUUCUCGAAGGAGAUGGAUUUGGAGAAGAGGAAAGCUGUGACCUUAGCUUCAAUUCGUUCAUCGGUGACUGAUAAAUCUCCCAAAGGUUAUCUCGACGAACCCAUCAUACCUCUCCUCGACACCAUCAACCACCACCCAUCUUACUUCACUACAAGUUCAUAGCUAUACGAUGUUCGAUUCGAAUGGAGGUUCCUUUGGGCAAAAUUUUCAUUUCUCCCCUUCUGUCCGAAAUCGAUUCUAGGUUUUCUUCUUUCUAUGUUCCAUCAACGCUCUGGGCAAAGCUUCUUCACUCUCCCUCUCAGACCAAUCGUGAUUUUGCAUACUCCUCUCAUAAUCUCAGAGGUACGGUUACAGUGGGAUUACCACCAGACUGGGUUGAUGUAUCUGAGGAGAUUUCAGUUAACAUUCAACGUGCAAGAACCAAAAUGGCUGUGGGUGUGGAUUCUUGGAUCAUUUGCAGCUUCCUUGGAUCUCUGUUUUUUAAAGAGCUCUCUGUUUUUUAAUUUGAAAGUUUUGUAGGUAAGUAUUAAUAUUUUUUGUCCAAGGAUCAUUGAAUUUGGUUUGUAUCUUUGUUCACAUUCAAGUUUUGGUCUAUAGUUAAUAAUAAAUUACAUC